UGAGGAAUAUUGGGCAAUGCCCGAAAGGGUGACCCAGCAACGCCGCGUGGAGGAUGAAGGUCGUAAGAUUGUAAACUCCUGUUAGAGGGGAAGAAUAACUAAGUUUGGAGCUUAGUAUGACUGUACCCUCAGAGAAAGCCCCGGCUACCUACGUGCCAGCAGCCGCGGUAAUACGUAGGGGGCAAGCGUUGUCCGGAUUUACUGGGUGUAAAGGGCGCGCAGGCGGGAUAAAAAGUCAGUGGUGAAAUCCUACAGCUUAACUGUAGAACUUCCUUUGAUACUUUUAUUCUUGAGUUCGGGAGAGAGAGACGGAAUUCCAGGUGUAGUGGUGAAAUACGUAGAUAUCUGGAAGAACACCAGUUGCGAAGGCGGUCUCUUGGUCCGACACUGACGCUGAGGCGCGAAAGCGUGGGGAGCAAACA
rnacentral:rRNA from 1 species